rnacentral:tRNA from 1 species
CCCAUAGCUCAGUUUGGUUAGAGCAUACGUAUUAUAAGCGGAGUGUCACUGGUUCAAAUCCAGUUGGGU